CAAUGCCAGUCAGGAGAGGGAAGCAACACACAUCCCAGUCAGGAAGCUGCAGCUGGCGAAUGGAAAGAAAAACAAGUUUCCUUCUCACUCUGCGGCUGAAACAGAGGAUCAUUUCUGCACUAAGAGGGAUCAGAAAGGAAAGAUGGUGGAGAGAGAGCUGGGUGUCAUCUGCAGAGCUGUGAAAACGAACAGCAGAUUCUCUGAAAAUAAGACCAACUGGGAGGAGAUGGAUGAAGAAAAGGACCAGGACCAGAACCCUGAGGAACACCGGAGGAAGACUGGGCCUUGACCAAAACCACCAGGGAAACUGAUUGUUAUUUGCUGAGAUGAAUUUUUGAACAAACCGAAGCUCAAACACGGAGAUUAAACGCGUAGCAUAAGAUUGUAUCUAUGGUAACAAUAAAAUGCUAAAAAUUGUU